AUGCGAUGAGUUGAUUUGGUCUUUAAGACCAUUUUCGCUGGGAGGUCAUUAACGCAGGAGCGGACCUUGAUAGUCUGUGUGAACCUUUCUAUCACACUUUAUAAGUGCCCUUGAGCCUAGGUGGAAACCUAGGCUUUUUA
rnacentral:sRNA from 1 species